CUCAGUGGAUAAUGGAGAGGCAAUGGAGAGAUGAGAAAACCGGCUGCAGAGAGGAACAACCCUCUCUGCUGACAGCUGAACACUCAUGGGCACACCCUGGCUUCAGAGAGGAGUUGCCCACUAUGACAGACCUGGAGGAGACUUCGUGAUUUUAUUCAUGGACCAAGAUUUCCUCAGGACUGUUAACAUUUUCCAUCGCUGUCUUCUGCCGUUGGCAACAGCUGGCGCCAGGGAAAGAUGGUCUCCCAGUAGAGAGAAAACGCUGAAGCCGAUGAUCAGCAUGUUCCGGUAAGAUCUCAGGAGUUGGGGGAGUUGGCUCAAGCAUGCACACUAAGAGCUAAAACAGUGGAGAUUCAGCAGUGUAUGACCUUCCUCUAGGAAUGCACACAACUUCAGUAAACACACUGCACAGGUGGCCCGUCUCAAGGGCUAGCAGGCCA